GGUGCCUACGUAGCUAAUUCGUUAUUCGAACCGCCCUGAAAUUGUCAUCGAAAAAUCCAAGCGCCUAAUCAAACAUUCUGUGCACGUCGUAGUGGUAAUACGGCGGUUCGGAUGGAUUCGUUUUAGACGAGAAAACGUAUACGCUCGGGGGGUUUUUUUUUUUGAUCGACACCGUUCCGGUUUGUAUUCGCUAUCAAAUUAAGCGAACCUCACUUAAAGUAACGUGUUCAAAUUAUAUACUUAUGCAUAUUAAUUUUAAACAUACACAUCUGAAAUAAGACAAUAAUUAAGUUGUUACUAU